rnacentral:rRNA from 1 species
CUUACCUACGGGGCGCAGCAGUGGGGGAUAUUGCACAAUGGGGGAAACCCUGAUGCAGCGACGCCGCGUGUGGGAAGACGGCCCUCUGGAUUGUAAACCACUGUCCCCAGGGACGAAGAUGACGGUACCUGGGGAGGAAGCUCCGGCUAACUCCGUGCCAGCAGCCGCGGUAAUACGUAGGUGGCAAGCGUUGUCCGGAAUUACUGGGUGUAAAGGGAGCGCAGGCGGGAAGCCAAGUCAGCUGUGAAAACUACGGGCUUAACUGGUAGUCGCACUCAAAACUGCAGCUCUUGAGUGAAGUAGAG